rnacentral:lncRNA from 1 species
GGAGAAAUGGGGAGCUGUUAUUUUUGUUCACUUAUUCUGUGAAGUUCAAAGGAAUACAGCUGUGAUGAUUCAACUUUACCCAAAGACAGAUCCUUAAUGAUUACAGUUGUGAUGAUUCAACUUUACCCAAAGACAGAUCCUUAAUGAUUAGCACUGCAUGUGCACCAGCUUACAAGAAGCAGCCACACUAAGACUCCCAGACCUGACUUAUCCGAAAAGAAGAAAACUAAGAAAGAAGAGAAAAUAUCUCAGACUCAACCUGCAAAAGAAGAGGAAAAGUCACGGAGUCAACCUAGCUCAUUGCAUUUCCAGGGUCAACAUGGCUCACGUGCCCAGAGUUAACAUGGCUCACGUGCCCAGAGUCAACGUGAGAAACCAAAACAAUCAACACCAAUCCCAAAAACUCUAUUCCCAAAGUAGUCUUAAUUAAAUAUUAAUUCCUAUUCUGAUGUCAUUUGUUCUUCAUUAUUUUAAAUAAUUUG